rnacentral:rRNA from 1 species
CCUUCGGGUUGUAAAGCCCUUUUGUUUGGGAGCAAAUCCUUGAUGUUAAUAGCGUCCGGGGAUGAGAGUACCAAAAGAAUAAGCACCGGCUAACUACGUGC